rnacentral:rRNA from 1 species
AACGGCCGUACCAUGCUGAAUAUACCAGUUCUCGUUAGAUCACCGAAGUCAAGCAUCAUUGGGCGCGGUCAGUACUUGAGUGGGGGAUCACCUAGGAACACCGCGUGCUGUUG